UGUGUGCACAUUGAGGUACCUCUGCCUUCACGUUGGUUUUGUUUGGUGUUGUGUGUGCGUGUGUGUGUGCGUGUGCACAUUGAGGUACCUCUGCCUUCACGUUGGUUUUGUUUGGUGUUGUGUGUGCGUGUGUGUGUGCGUGUGCACAUUGAGGUACCGCUGCCUUCACGUUGGUUUUGUUUGGUGUUGUGUGUGCGUGUGUGUGUGCGUGUGCACAUUGAGGUACCUCUGCCUUCACGUUGGUUUUGUUUGGUGUUGUGUGUGUGUGUGUGCACAUUGAGGUACCGCUGCCUUCACGUUGGUUUUGUUUGGUGUUGUGUGUGUGUUUUUUGUAGACGAUUGUUCAACUCUUUACAGCAGUGCUAACCGCCAAGGCUUUCAAUUCUGUAACUUCUCCACUCAGCCUCAUUGCUGCUCCCACAUGCAUUGUGAGAAAGACGUGUGCUCUGUUGUUUUGUUUUAACGUGUUUAUUUCACAACAGGAAGAUCUUUCAGAAUGUCAGAAAAGAAAAAUAAACGGCUGCUCCCAGCUACGGACUAACUUCCUGUGUUACAGGUCACUUGGUCAGAUUGCCGUUAGACUGUUGAAGUUAAUUUGGUGUAAUUUGGUGCAGAAGGUUUUAAAAAUAAAAACCCUGACACUGAUGAGAGAAGAAGAGGGGGCCAGUGAUAAUGUUGUGUGGGCUUUUGCUAGGGGCGCAUUCUUUUUUUAUUUUAAGUUCUUGUUUAACCCAUGCUCCAAGCAUUGCCUAUCCUCUUGUACUAGUUUCCCACAGUAAAGGCAUUGUGUAGUAGAGCCCAGGUAAGAUUUGUGAAGCACAGAGAAGUCUGGGGAAGCAUAUUUAAAAAAAAACAUAACAAACCAGGUCAAACUACAGCAAAUACAGACCCACGGGAAAACUUCAAGCACAGCGUGGUCAGCUUCGAAUCCCAUUGAAUCCAGAGUGAUCUGUUGUCACAUGGAAACUGUCAAUAAAGGGCUGAAGAAG